rnacentral:rRNA from 1 species
UGAAGAGGGAAACAACCCAGACCGCCAGCUAAGGUCCCAAAGUCAUGGUUAAGUGGGAAACGAUGUGGGAAGGCCCAGACAGCCAGGAUGUUGGCUUAGAAGCAGCCAUCAUUUAAAGAAAGCGUAAUAGCUCACUGGUCGAGUCGGCCUGCGCGGAAGAUGUAACGGGGCUAAACCAUGCACCGAAGCUGCGGCAGCGACACUAUGUGUUGUUGGGUAGGGGAGCG